rnacentral:rRNA from 1 species
GACGAACGCUGGCGGCGUGCUUAACACAUGCAAGUCGAACGGUGAAGCUCCAGCUUGCUGGAGUGGAUCAGUGGCGAACGGGUGGGUAACACGUGAGCAACCUGCCCCAGACUCUGGAAUAAGCGCUGGAAACGGCGUCUAAUACUGGAUACGAGAUCAAGCCGCAUGGUUAUGGUCUGGAAAGUUUUUCGGUUUGGGAUGGGCUCGCGGCCUAUCAGCUUGUUGGUGAGGUAAUGGCUCACCAAGGCGACGACGGGUAGCCGGCCUGAGAGGGCGACCGGCCACACUGGGACUGAGACACGGCCCAGACUCCUACGGGAGGCAGCAGUGGGGAAUAUUGCACAAUGGGCGAAAGCCUGAUGCAGCGACGCCGCGUGAGGGAUGACGGCCUUCGGGUUGUAAACCUCUUUCAGCAGGGAAGAAGCGAAAGUGACGGUACCUGCAGAAGAAGCACCGGCUAACUACGUG